ensembl:lncRNA
AUGAUUUCUAGUUCAUAGCUGUAUCUUAGUUAUUUGCAUGUGCUGUGCUACAGUGGAUUCUACUUGCUUAAAACCCUUGUCAGGGAAGAAACAUUUUUCUGGCUUUUAUUUGCAAUGAAAGCUGUUCCCUAGAGCCAUGUCAGCUGCAGAAAUCCAGACCCCAGCACAAGUGUCUGCAUUAAAAACUGGGCUUUGGGCUCCAUUAAAAUACUGUGACUGUACAUGUCACAAACAGACAGGCAGUGCAGUAGCACAGGCACUUGAAUGAUCCUGCUUUGAAACCAAGAGGCUUUUGAAACUAUGGGGCUUUUGAAACUGGGAUUGCAACCCCAGAGAAAAGAAACAGCUAUCUCCUCUCUUUGCUUCUUCCAGCCUCUGUCAGCUUCUGGCUUUAAAUUUUCUCUCAAGUUAUGCACUUGUCUCUUGGUAAUCUUCCCCCAUAUUUUAAUUGGGGAUGGCAGGUAAGGCAUAAGGUCAAAGAACCAGAAAUGGCCUUGUAAAACUGAGUCAAUGGAGCCAGAAAGAUGGGCCUCCAGUUAAAACUGGUGAUAGUAUCUGCUGAAUUUUUGGGAAUGUUUGCAAACUCGUGAUUAGAUCAAGCGAAAUUACAUAAAAACUUAUGACCUUUGAAUAAAACAGGGCUGGAGGACUCUGAGAAGAGAAUGGCAGGGUUCCAGUAAGAGAGACAUGCAUCAUGACAGUUUAGUCCACACUGUGUAGGCAGCAAGGCAUGCUGAUGGGUUAAUGCAUCUUUUUCACAUUUAAGAGGAAAGUACAUGUCCUCUUCCUUUUUGUACAAAAUGUUUCAUGUGUUUAUGUGUGUGUAUGCAUGGCACUCUCAUACAUAGGUGGGGUGCAUUCUCUUCAUUGACUCUAAGACAAGGGUUGCAACCUGCUCACUCUGGCCAGUUUUUAAAGAUGGCACAUUGCCAUGAUGUAGGAGGGCCUUCAUUUCUGUAUUUCUGUAGCAAACACUGUGGCCACCACUUGUUUAAUAUUAAGUCUGUUUUCCCUCAAUUCCUUCUGGAGGAGGAAGAUUGGAGCAGAGUGUUUGGGCAGUUUUGCUGCUCUGUUGUGGUGUGGCAGCAGGAGUAUCUGUUGCUAGGGGAUGCUGGCUCCAAGGGAACUUUUGAAGUGGAAGGGUUUAGGGUUUAUUAUGAGGUCACAGUUCCUGGGGGAAUUAAUUCAUCAGAUCAGCUGAUGAGAAAUGCUGUCCUCUGCCCUGGCAGAGGGUUUGCUGUAGGGACGUGCUCCCCGGAGUGUCAUCCCCAGUGCUGCAGGAUGCAGAGGUUGUGUGGGGUGCGCUGAUCUCCGUGAGAGCUGGAUGCCAUCCACACCUCUGAGGCUGGACCCUGUAUCUUGUGAAAACAAGAAUGAUUUGUUGCCAUUAAAUUCUGCUUUAACCACG